GCGGAUAGCCAAGGUCCAGCACCUGCGAACUAUGACAACCAACCCCAAUAGCCUGCUACAAGGCCCACAGCAGGAACAUCUUGCCUGUCUCCAUGGGUGGGAACGAUGACGGCAUGUGGAUUUCAGAGCUAGAGAGGCUGUUUGGUUUUCCUUGCCACUAUACCGAUGUGGGCAAUAUCAGUCCAAGCAAACGACGUGUCCUUCUGGGAAGAUCAUGGAGUGUCCCUGUCGUUGCUCAGAUCCUCCGACCCCUGACCAGCUUUUUUGCUUCAACAUCCGAUGCUGCCUGCAUAACGCCCUCUAAGUCUUGCACUGUCCAGCCAGUGACUACAGCCCCAGCAUUAUCUGACUCUGCUGACACCACCUUUAUGUCAGUUUCAAGUUCUGAUGAUGCAGUAAGCACAGGUUCCUCUGGUACAGAGAGUGGUGAUGAUUGUUGUGACUGCCUUGCCAUCACCACUAGGUCUGCCCUUGAUGUGAUGCCAUCUUAUAAUAAUGUGUGCACAAGUGCAGGAUCUGCAGAAGUUCAGUCAUGAUGUUUUCUUUAGACAGCGUUGCAGUGAGAAAUACUGAAAUUGCAGAGAGCAUCCCUGUUAGCAGUGAAACAUCCAGUUCUUGUGAUCUCCCCUGUUGUAUUUCAAACAUUCGCACACACAAAAAAGUGUGUGGGAAGCUUUCUGUAGAUAAAAGCGAUCCUAAAUGUUUUGCUUCAACUGUUCCUUCUGCCACAGAUGAUGGCAUGACUGACGCACUGUCAUUCAGCAAAUCAGUUAUGAAGAUCUUUCCUGGAGAUGCCUCUUUUAAACAACUGCCAGUUAAAAACAAAAACACAACAGUUGCCUCAGCAGUGCCUGAUAUGAUGAGAAUUGUCUCAGAAGAUGAUUUUGUAGAAUGUGUGGAUGGAUCAAAAGUAGGGAUCAGAGCUAAUGAGGUCAUGGGCAGAACAGUUGUAAACAGUGUUGAAAGCAAAUGGCUAUCACCACCACCACGCAAGCUUGCAGAGAAGACUGCAACAGAGAUUCUGCCUUUACAUGUGUAUCACAUGCUUCAAGAAUUUCCAGUGGUUUUCAGCCCCAAGUGACCGAGUUCCCCUUCAGCCAAAGUAAAUCAUCUCUCAUCUUUUGAAUUUCAUGAGAAUGAAAAUACAGCUUUCAGUGCUUCAGGGGCAGAUUAUUCACAGAUCACACAUAGGAAUGCCUGUCAAAGACAGAAUGCCUUUUCUUUUGUUGGAUGUGGCAAAAAGAAUACUACCAUUUCUCAAGCACAACAACAGCCAGCUAUUGAAGAAGUGGAGAAUGUUCGCCAUCACUAAAACAUAAUGAUGUCACUGGUAGUGUCCCAGCGGUUAGAAGUUGCAGUACAUCACAUUUCAUUGUGCAGCCAUCAGUGUUGCAGAGUGCUGGUCAGAAUGAAGUAACAAGUACCAAUAUGCUGCUUGUCCUGUUACUCAUUCUUGUUAUUUCCCUUUCCAUCAAGUAGUCAGUGAUUCAGAGAAUGAUGAGUCUGGUUGCACAGUAGAAAAUACUCUGGGCAGUGUAUCUUGCACAGCCAACAGAGCAGGAAAUUCUUCUGGAAAUAUAUCCAACACGUUAUGGAGGCCUUUUGAAGUUAAUGAAAACGCCAUGGCUUUGGAGCUUGGAAAUGCUACAGAUUCAGGGAGAUCUUUUAAGUAUACUGAGGUGGCCGGCAUAGAUGAUGGGUACCAGGGAACCAAAGAAGAUAAAUACAGGUGGGCAAGAAGGGGAGAUAAACAGGACCGAAGGGAGGUGGGUCAAAAAGAUGGUGUCCUUGAAGCAAAACAAUCAUCCAACUUGUGUCUCUGUUGUUCCAAUCUGAUGAGUCAGGGCUGCAAAGUCCAGUCAUACCCUGGGGUGUUAGGACAACACAAGCAGCUAGACAAUACACACAUGACUCACACUGUUGGUGCAAACGAUGUUCAGAUAACUUCAAUACACUUGAAUGGAGAUGAAUCACAGAGGUCUUUGUUCAAAGAAUUUGUCAUCCCCAUGAAAAGUAAGCCCGUAGUUACAGUUGACAUGAUAGGGCAUAAACCUGAAGAAAACUCUCUUCCUGAUGCAUACAUUCUAGGCAAGCAUGCACAGUUUGCAAGCAGAGAAGAAAUCCAGCAUCAUGGAAAGAUACACCAGCAGUGAACACAGAGAGACCAGACAUAGUAAGUAUCCCUGCUUCCAGAGAAAAUUGCAUUUUUAAUCCAAGAACAGAACAUGUCCCUUUGGUACAACAGGGCUCUCAGCAGCAGCUCAGUAUGAGGCAGGCAGAGGGUAUGGAUGGAGUAACCAUGCUAUCUCCAUGUCUUCAUGUUGACUCCAGUUCUGCAAACUGCUUUUAUAGUCAGAAUUAUGUUGAGUGUGACCUCCAGCAUUGCCCAGUGAAUGAGGAGGAUGACUGUCAAAUUGAAAAUGAUGAGGAGAGUUCCUUUAUUGUGCUAGGACAGGUUUUCUGGAGAAAGAGUGCCCAGGAUCCAGUUGUCAGCCUCUCUGUAACCACAGGCGGCAAUGACAGCUACACAAAUGGUGGUGAUCUUCUCCAUGUAGAUGGAAGAGUUGAUGACAGCACCAUGAACAGAAGUGCCAGCCUUGCUAAGCUGAUGAGGUAUCUAAGGCGGAUCAAGUCCUUUCAUAUUUAAAAUCGUUUUUAGUAAACAGUGAUGCUGUAGGAAAUAUUUCAGCAGACACACAUGAAGAAGAAGAAGAAAGUCAUGUUUGGAAAACGCAAGGAAAACAGCACUUCAGAUAAUAGCACUGUCUUCAAAAACUGCAAGAAAGGUGUAACAUUAGAGACUGCAAUACGUGAUGUAGGUUGUAAAAAUAAUCUUUCCAAGAGACAAGAGAGAACAGCAUACCUCUUUCUUAGGAAGAAAGAGAAAGUCAGAAGUACAUGGACGGACAAAAUUGUCUGCAGUGAGUGCAGCCAGCCCAGAUACUGAAGCCACAUUUAACAGAGGUGCAGUGGUUACUGAACCUGUUGAAACAGAUGAGACUUUCAGGACAAACUCUACCAACAUCACUGUAUGUGUCCAGCCAAACAAACCAGAUACAAGUCAGAAAAAACUUCAAGCAGAGCACACUCAGCUUCUGCAAACUCAUAAGGACCCUCUACUAUGUUCUGAGAAUGGAAAUGCCAGCCUUGAUAUUGUUGAUGAGGAUCUUCAGGCAGAUGUAAAUGCUCAUGCCAUUUCCUAUUUAAAAUCUCUUUUAGAAAACAAUGAUGCUGAAAGGAAUAUUCCAGAAGACACAUGCGAUCUUACUUUAAGUGACGAAGAAGCAGAAAUCCACCCUGAGAAAACAUGUCAAAGCAGUGGUCUAGAUGGCAGCACUCUCAUCCAAACCUCUAAGCAAGGGAAGGAUUUGAAGACAAAGAUGAUUGAUGCUCGUUCAAUGCACUGUAAGAAAGAUAAAACCCAAAGAAUUUUGUCCUGUGAAUGCAAGCAAAAAGCACAAACAUGAUGAUAUUUUUGCAUCAUUCAUGAAUGACAGCAACCUAGUUUCCAGAUGUUCUCAGGAAGAGUGUAUUGAUGAAAAGCCAACAGAUUCAUUAUGAGUUCUUUGUUAAAAAGCAUUAUAACUAGAGCACCGCCAGUUACAAGUGAAGAGAUGACAGAACUGUCUGAAAAUGUUUUUGAGAGGAGUCAGAGACUGGGCAACACCCAAAAAUACUACUCUGUGGAAGAGAACUUAAGAACUUACAAUACAGGGGAAGAAACUUCAAGUAUGAGCUCAUUUUCAAAUUCAGAAGAACAUAUUGGUGCUUCUUGGGAGAAGAAGCAAACCCCAACUAUGACAACACUCAAGGAAUGGGGACAGAAGAGAUGCUCUAGAACUCCAAACACUGCAAGAAGGGGACGCAAGCGGCAGAAGACAUGUAGCUCCGGAUAUAUAAACACAUUUUCUGCAAAAAUUCCUUUUGUGGACACUUCUCUGCCAAAUGGUUUUGGUAACAUCUUGUCAGAUGGAUUUGUAUUGGGUGAAGAAACUUGGGACGACAGAGAGAUUGUUCGAAACCAAUGGCUACAAAGAUUGAGGAAGCGAUCAGUUAAGAACUUGUCAGGCAAACUUGCCUGACUCACGUGCAACCAAUUCAGUCUCCACAGCUGCAUUUCACAAAGGUGCAGUGGUUACAGGAGAGACUAUAACAUUCUUACUGCAUGUGUCCAGCCAAAAACAAUAGAAGUUUGCCAGGAGUAUCAGAUGGAAUCAGGACCAGUUGCCAUGUUCUUAAGGUUGCAGUCAUAUUUUUUGGAUGCUGGGGCUGUGCUGGAGUGAUCACUCCAUACAGGGGUGUUCAGAAACUAUGAGCUUAUCAUCCUCACAGGAAAAAACAAUAUCACAUCAUGCGAGGAAUAUUUGCUAAAUAAUGAGGCUUUAUAGUUUAUAGUUAUUGCCUAAUCAUUUAUUUUCUUAAAGUAAGUCCUAACUAAAAUUGAUAUUUGUUCUGUUGCCUCGGCACUUUUACUGAUAUAACUAUUAUCCACAACACUCAUUUAAUGUUGUCCUGCAUACUUUUGCUUACAAUUUGUUCCAAAAUCUGACUUGAACGAACAUAUACCAGCUCAAUAAAUGACUCUAAGCAUGUGAAAUCUGCUUUCACAUUUAUACAUGUGCAUCAUGCAAAACUGGUAAUGUUUAGUGUCAACAAAAUGAGUUAUCUUUGGGUUCAUUUUUGUUCUUUAUUGUUAUGAGGCAAAUGAAGAUCAGUUCAUUUAUAUUUUUGUGCAUGUUAAGAUUUGAUACAAAUGAAACACAUUUUGUUAACAGAACUUACAGAAGUAAUCACUGAUGUUUUUUAUAUUAUGAUCACUGUUUAGUUUUUUCAAUCAACAAGCAAAAGCUUGCAAAAAAGUAGAAGGAUGUGUAUAAUUUUGAAAUUAAUUACCUCAGUUACAUUUCAUGUUCACAGAUUUUUUCACAAAGCUGUUUUACAAAGAUCUUAUUUAUUUUGAAUUAAGAUUAAUUACAUUUUAUUUAUGAAAGUAAUCAUAGUGCGAUGAGAAUUGGAACUGGUGAUACAGAAUAGUGGAAAAUCACAUUUGACGCUUUUUGUUGUGUUAAAUAAUAAAGCCAUAUAAGCAUUUAUUGACUUCAGUGUG